GAAAAGUCGAAAAACGCCCAAAGACACCGCUUGGAUAAACUGAAGACACAUCAACAUAAAUAACGAAAUAAAAACUCUCCCAAGAAAAGAGACAAUUCAACAAUCUCUCACGGAAACAAACAAAACAUAAUGCCCUAUCACCAGCACCGCUCGAAUCAGCCCCCAUCAAACCAAGGGAGGAUGACGAAUAAAUUGGCAGAUAUUUGACAUAGAUCCACCAAAUAACUUCUUCACAACGUCGUCACCAAGACGCACAUAUUUGAUAUAGAUCCACACCACAGACUGGAUAUAGAUCUUGGACGUUAGUCUUAUAAUAACAGCGGGUUUCUCAACCUCUGGCUCGUUAUCUGUUCGGGUUCCUCAACUCGCGUUCGUCUUCCUCAACCUCUCGUUCGUGCGUGAUUUGCUUCUUCUCUAUUCUCGCACCUCUCUUCUAUUCUCUAUCCUCUAUCUUCUCCUAUCUUUGAUUUUUUCUCUCCUUGUCUGUGAAAAUCUUCAUAUUAAUCUGACGAUUUUUGUGUGAAAUUCAAUAUUCUGAUAGACUGGGUUUAUGAGUAUCUUUGCAUCUCCUGGGUUAUG
rnacentral:lncRNA from 1 species